CAAAAAUUAGAGUGUAUAUUAUACAAGAGUGUUUGUGAGGUUUCUUUGGGUACAAUAUUUGUCCCAAAGGGUGUUCUUGUAUCGUCUCUAUUUUUUGAUGUUUCUCAAGUUGGUCACUUGAGAUUUUGGUGUACCAUUAUUUUUUAUCGUGGAUAUUUCUCGGAGUUUGGCCCGUGGUUUUUCUCUCUAAAUUUGGGAGAGUUUUCCACGUAAAUUUUGGUGUUCCGAUUGCUUGUGUUAUUUUUCAUAUUGUUCAACGACCGAGUAAAGUGGGAAUUAAUAUUUUAUUCCCAACAAUAGACCCCGACAUCCUUCCGUCCAAAAACUUCUCACCUUAUUCUUGGGGAGACUCGAAUUCCCAACAUUUCGGUUGGAAGUGGAGGUUAAUUACCAUCGUAGCAACCCCAACUACACCAGGUCUUACACCAAUAGAAAUAAAGUAAUGCCUUGAAAAAUCCAACCAACAUUCAUUUGAGUUAGCAGGAGCAAGAGAAGAAGAACUUGGAAGAACACUGAGAAAUUAUUCGUAAUCCUCUUCAAUGUCGCCGAUCAGUGAGAGAAUAUAGCUAAUUAUCUAUGUUUACUUGGUAAAAAGCACUACAAGCGGUUUAUGGAGAGGACAAUACACGUGUUUUAUAGUAGUGCACUGCAGUAUUUUUAUGGAGAGACGAAUUUACCAAUUUACCCCUAUACAUAUUCACAAUUUAAAACAAUACUUAGUAGAAAAGACACAACUUAUAUUACUUUUUGUACAAUUAUUAGUGCAAUGUUCGUCCCUCCUUAGCCAUUUAUAUAUAAUAGAAAAAAUAAGCAUGUAAAUAUACAUCUAGUAUUAUGUACCAGCAAUUUUUCUAAAUAAAAG
rnacentral:lncRNA from 1 species